CCCUUUUAGAAUGUUUGCUUUCCUACCAGGAAGAGUGGCUUGGCUCUCUGCUGAGGCUCUCAGAGGUUCUCCCAGCCUUGGGAACGCUGAUUAAAACCAGUCAGCACAACGUCCCCCUGUGGAGACUGGCCUCCAUCCCUGGGAUUUGCCGGUAGAGGAAAGGGAACCAGCGUUGACUGAGCUCCUACUAUGUGCACUUCCUGGGCCUGGCACUGGGAUCACAGGAUGAAUGAAUAAGGCAUAUUUCCUGCCCUGAGGAGGUGUCCAUAGGGGAAGUCGGAAUUAAGCCACCUCCAGAAUUCUGAGGUCAAGGGAACGUCAACAGAACUGUGAACAAAAUGCCCAAAGCCAUGAAAAUCGACAGAGACUUGAAGGGCAGGAAUGGGGCCAGGCUGAGGUCAGGAUGGUAGAAGAGGUGGUGGAGGUGAUGAGGUACCAGAGCAACCUCGAAGAAAGGUGAGAAGCAGGGGACCACCAAAGGCAAACCUGGAACACCUGGUGACUCCGGCUAACUCUCCAUGUGGUGUCCAAGAGGACUUUUCUGAUACUGCUACCACUGCUAAUAGUAAUAAAAGUUACUAUUUAAUGUGUUUACUAUGUGUUGGGUGUGCAAAUAUUGUGGAAAGAGUGAACAUAUGUGCAGAAUGCUUAAUAAACGUGAUCUCUUUUUAUCUUCAAAA